GAAGGAGCUCUACUGGAGAUCUGCUCUGCUGGAGUUUUGUGGGCCCAGGAUACAGAAAUCCAACGAACACUGGAAGCCAAAAUUCUCAACUGAAAUCACAUGGAAGUCAAGUCUUACAGAAUGUGGAAAGUGGUAUUAGGAAGAGGCUGGUUUUCCACUGGAGCAACUUGCUGAGUUUGUUCACCAUGGCAACACAAGGCCUCCCUAUCUGAUGCAAAGGAAGUGGAGAGAUUGUCAAGCUCAAGUGCUACUGCCCAGGACUAAAGAAGCAAACAAGUGGGAGAAAGAAAACAGAGACUGGCACACAGAGAAUGAAC